rnacentral:rRNA from 1 species
CACGUAGGGGGCGAGCGUUGUCCGGAUUUAUUGGGCGUAAAGAGCUCGUAGGCGGCUCGGUAAGUCAGGUGUGAAAACUCUAGGCUCAACCUAGAGACGCCACCUGAUACUGCUGUGGCUAGAGUCUGGUAGGGGAGCAUGGAAUUCCUGGUGUAGCGGUGAAAUGCGCAGAUAUCAGGAGGAACACCAGUGGCGAAGGCGGUGCUCUGGGCCGGAACUGACGCUGAGGAGCGAAAGCGUGGGGAGCAAACAGG